rnacentral:rRNA from 1 species
CAUGCAAGUCGAGGGGAAACGACAUCGAAAGCUUGCUUUUGAUGGGCGUCGACCGGCGCACGGGUGAGUAACGCGUAUCCAACCUGCCCACCACUUGGGGAUAACCUUGCGAAAGUAAGACUAAUACCCAAUGACGUCUCUAGAAGACAUCUGAAAGAGAUUAAAGAUUUAUCGGUGAUGGAUGGGGAUGCGUCUGAUUAGCUUGUUGGCGGGGUAACGGCCCACCAAGGCAACGAUCAGUAGGGGUUCUGAGAGGAAGGUCCCCCACAUUGGAACUGAGACACGGUCCAAACUCCUACGGGAGGCAGCAGUGAGGAAUAUUGGUCAAUGGACGAGAGUCUGAACCAGCCAAGUAGCGUGCAGGAUGACGGCCCUAUGGGUUGUAAACUGCUUUUAUAAGGGAAUAAAGUGAGUCUCGUGAGACUUUUUGCAUGUACCUUAUGAAUAAGGACCGGCUAAUUCCGUGCCAGCAGCCGCGGUAAUACGGAAGGUCCGGGCGUUAUCCGGAUUUAUUGGGUUUAAAGGGAGCGUAGGCCGGAGAUUAAGCGUGUUGUGAAAUGUAGACGCUCAACGUCUGCACUGCAGCGCGAACUGGUUUCCUUGAGUACGCACAAAGUGGGCGGAAUUCGUGGUGUAGCGGUGAAAUGCUUAGAUAUCACGAAGAACUCCGAUUGCGAAGGCAGCUCACUGGAGCGCAACUGACGCUGAAGCUCGAAAGUGCGGGUAUCGAACAGGAUUAGAUACCCUGGUAGUCCGCACGGUAAACGAUGGAUGCCCGCUGUUGGUCUGAAUAGGUCAGCGGCCAAGCGAAAGCAUUAAGCAUCCCACCUGGGGAGUACGCCGGCAACGGUGCAACUCAAAUGAAUUGACGG